CUCAUCCUUCAUCUUGAAGGCUUCCUUUGCUCGGGCAUAUCCUUCGGCCCGAGCCAGCAAAUCAGUGAAGUCUCUGGGAUACUUCUUUAUCAGGAAAAAUAGAAGAUCGUUCUUUUGAAGAUCGAUCUUUAGGGCGGCUAUUGCAACUGAUUGGUUCAAGUUUCGGACCUCUAAUACGGCGGCAUUAAAACGGUUGACGUAAAUUCGGAUGGAUUCUUCCUCCU
rnacentral:lncRNA from 1 species